GUGCCAGCAGCCGCGGUAAUACAUAGGGGUCAAGCGUUGUCCGGAUUUAUUGGGCGUAAAGAGCUCGUAGGCGGUUCAACAAGUCGGUCGUAAAAGUUUAGGGCUCAACCCUAAAAUGUCGAUCGAUACUGUUGUGACUAGGAUACGGUAGAGGUGAAUGGAAUUCCGAGUGUAGCGGUGAAAUGCGUAGAUAUUCGGAGGAACACCAGUGGCGAAGGCGGCUUUCUGGACAGUGACUGACGCUGAGGCGCGAAAGCGUGGGUAGCAAACAGGAUUAGAUA
rnacentral:rRNA from 1 species